rnacentral:rRNA from 1 species
UACGUAGGUGGCAAGCGUUGUCCGGAUUUACUGGGCGUAAAGGAUGCGUAGGCGGACAUUUAAGUCAGAUGGGAAAUACCCGAGCUUAACUUGGGUGCUGCAUUUGAAACUGGGUGUCUAGAGUGCAGGAGAGGUAAGUGGAAUUCCUAGUGUAGCGGUGAAAUGCGUAGAGAUUAGGAAGAACACCAGUGGCGAAGGCGACUUACUGGACUGUAACUGACGCUGAGGCAUGAAAGCGUGGGGAGCAAACAGG